UACGUAGGGUGCGAGCGUUAAUCGGAAUUACUGGGCGUAAAGAGCUCGUAGGUGGUUUGUCGCGUUGUUCGUGAAAUCUCACGGCUUAACUGUGAGCGUGCGGGCGAUACGGGCAGACUGGAGUACUGCAGGGGAGACUGGAAUUCCUGGUGUAGCGGUGGAAUGCGCAGAUAUCAGGAGGAACACCGGUGGCGAAGGCGGGUCUCUGGGCAGUAACUGACGCUGAGGAGCGAAAGCGUGGGGAGCGAACAGG
rnacentral:rRNA from 1 species